AGCCUACCUCGUUUCUUGCGGCUGCGCUGUCGGUCUCCGGCUCUUGAUCUCACGAAGGCGAGCGGCAGAGCAGAAGCAAAACAGCUAGGAGGGAGGUCACGUGACAAGCCCCGUAUCUCUCUCGGAAAAGAAUUAAAAAGAAAGGGGAGAGAGAGAGAGAUGCCCGAGUCCUUACAUUUCAAAAUAUGAACCUCAUGUGAAUUCAGUUGUCAUCUGCACCAUCACUUGAUUGUAACCAGACUGUCAUUUCCGGAUGACUUAACAAUCCUAGCAUGAUAUACAUGAGGAAAGGGACAGUCAUUGACAUGUUGCAUACUCAUAUGCUCGAGAGAAACAUGCAGUCACAAGUAGGGUUAAUCAUAACCAGAUGUGCUACUGCAGGAGCUUAGGACAAAUUAAUUAUUUUAAAUGUUUUCCAAUUGGAGUCACUACCAGAGGUGAGGCAUUCCAAUUUUGGGAGUUGGAAUAAUAACUCUCAUUAAUGUAAACUAGCAUCUGUAAAAUUCACAAGCCAUAACUAAUUUGCCGUGUAAGUUGAUCAGAUCUGUUAUUUGGACUCACACCCAACCAACUCAAAAGUGCAAUAAAAAUGUUAUGUUAUUUA